CCCUUAGAUGUUCUGGGCCGCACACGCGCUACAAUGGCAAAGUCAACGAGCUUAUCCUAUGCUGACAAGCACAGGUAAUCUUUUCAGUCUUUGUCGUGAUGGGGAUAGACCCUUGUAAUUAUUGGUCUCCAACGAGGAAUUCCUAGUAAACGCAAGUCAUCAACUUGCAUUGAUUACGUCCCUGCCCUUUGUACACACCGCCCGUCGCACCUACCGAUUGAAUGGUCCGGUGAAGUCUUCGGGCCGAUGCUGACUCGUUGGCAACGGAAAGUUGAGUAAACCUUACCAUUUAGAGGAAGGUGAAGUCGUAACA
rnacentral:rRNA from 1 species